UCUCCGUUGGUGAACCAGCGGAGGGAUCAUUACCGAGUUUACAACUCCCAAACCCAAUGUGAACGUUACCAAACUGUUGCCUCGGCGGGGUCACGCCCCGGGUGCGUCGCAGCCCCGGAACCAGGCGCCCGCCGGAGGAACCAACCAAACUCUUUCUGUAGUCCCCUCGCGGACGUUAUUUCUUACAGCUCUGAGCAAAAAUUCAAAAUGAAUCAAAACUUUCAAUAACGGAUCUCUUGGUUCUG
rnacentral:misc_RNA from 1 species